GCCUAAAGCGUCCGUAGCCGGCUUUGUAAGUUUUCGGUUAAAUCCAUAUGCUCAACUAAUGGGCUGCCGAAAAUACUGUAGAACUAGGGAGUGGGAGAGGUAGACGGUAUUCGGUAGGAAGGGGUAAAAUCCUUUGAUCUAUUGAGGACCACCUGUGGCGAAGGCGGUCUACCAGAACACGUUCGACGGUGAGGGAUGAAAGCUGGGGGAGCAAACCGGAUUAGAUACCCGGGUAGUCCCAGCCGUAAACGAUGCAGACUCGGUGAUGCGCUGGCUUGUGGCCAGUGCAGUGCCGCAGGGAAGCCGUUAAGUUUGCCGCCUGGGAAGUACGUACGCAAGUAUGAAACUUAAAGGAAUUGGCGGGGGUGCACCACAAGGGGUGAAGCCUGCGGUUCAAUUGGAGUCAACGCCAGAAAUCUUACCCGAAGAGACAGCAGAAUGAAGGUCAAGCUGGAGACUUUACCAGACAAGCUGAGAAGUGGUGCAUGGCCGUCGCCAGCUCGUGCCGUGAGAUGUCCUGUUAAGUCAGGUAACGAGCGAGAUCCCUGCCUCUAGUUGCCACCAUUACUCUCAGGAGUAGUGGGGCGAAUUAGCGGGACCGCCGCAGUUAAUGCGGAGGAAGGAAGGGGCCACGGCAGGUCAGUAUGCCCCGAA
rnacentral:rRNA from 1 species